AUUGUAGUCCGCGCCCUGCGCCCCCGGAGCGUGAGAGGGCUGAGAUCGCUGCGGUUUGGGGACCUCUGACACAGCCUCCGCGUGAUUGCCAUCACAACAGUUGCAAGACUUACUCGCGCUCACCUUCUUCAGAUAUAUUUUGCCUGGUAUAAGAAGAGAGAUGACUGUGGGCAAGCAUAAUCACUGCACAGAGGAUGGGAUCUUUCCAGAAAGUGAUAAAGAAGGCAGAACGCCAUGAGAACCGUGCUAGAGUAACAAGAUCUUCAGAGCGAUCUGUUGCCAGAGAAUAAACAGCUCAAAGAAGCAAAAUCAAGAUGUUUCUGGAAGGGACAAGCUCUUUCCCGUAUGUUGGAGAGGGAGGUAAAAUCUAGCCCGAGAAGUGACAUUCCAGUAGCUUGCUUAAUGAGUACCUGGAGAGUGUCACAGGGGCCAAGGGCUUCAGCCCCAUGAGCUGAAACUUUUAUGUGUCAUGAUGGAAUCCUGAUAUGGAGUGUACUUCCCUAUGUUAUGAAAAACAUCAGUGAAAACUAUAGCAGCACUAAAACAUGCUCUACAGACAAAGAAGCCCUGUGUUACCUUGAGAUGCACAGUGCAUUGGAGUCCUGCCUGAGAAGUGUCCUUUUGCUGUAGAAGAGAACCUUGGAUCUUAGAACUGAAGACAAGAGCAUGGGCUGGGGAGAUGGCCUGCCAUGGCAAGCACAGGACCCAAGAUAGAAUCCCUGGAGCCCUUUGGAAAGCAGAGUGGUGACAAAUCUGCAAUUCCUGACUCCUAUAUUAAGUGGGUAAGAGCUUUUCUCUAGAAGCUCGAAGACCAGCUUGAGUGACACAUGCAAGAGAUCCGGCCUUAAAUACGUUUGAGGAUAGGCACCCAAGGUUGUCUUCUGAUCUCCACAUGCACAUGCACACACAGCAUCCAUGCAUGUGCACAUAGCAUACAUGCGUACACACAUGCACUACAGCAUACACACGUGCAAACAUAGCAUACAUGCAUACACACACGAACAAAUGGCAUACACACAUGCAUAAAUAGCAUACAUGCAUACACAUAUACACACAUGGUAUAUAUACAUGCAUACAACAUAUACACACGUACACAACACAACAUAUACAGUAUACACACAAGCACACACAGCAUACACACAUGCACACACACACUUCUCAUACACUUAUUAUUUCUUUUAGUUUCCUGCCAUCGUUAUAGCACAUCUCAGUGAUGAAGAGAGAGUGCUCAGAACAAAUGUGACCACAAGCACACCAUUGGAGGAGGGCCUUGUUAAGUGCUUUUUGUCUUAAAAACAAACAGUUUUGCUGAACUGAAGCAGGUGCCGCCCGUGUAAUCCUAGCACUUGAGCAGCAGACAUAGGACGACCAAGAAUUUCAGGUUACCCUUAGCAACAUUUGUUAGAGCUUAGUCUGGGCUACCCGGAACAUCUCAUUCACCAGCCCCUCCCCUUUCCUUGCCUCUGUCUUCACCCUCCCCCUUUCUGUGAGGCUGAGGAUCAACCUAAGGAUUUAGGCACAUCAGGCCACCACUCUUCCUCUAAGCUGACCUUAGUUAGCCAGUGAGGCCCUUCUCCCUUGAUUCAAAGGUCUGCCUUCAAUUUACUCUCCUUUAUCAGUUCCUGCCUUUUAACAGUCAGCCUGGGGUAAGGUAAAGGGCAUACAAGGUCUGCCUCAGUUCUUUUCCUGCUUGUGGGUUUUGGCAACUAUUAGAUUCCUUUGUUGUAAAUGUGGCAGUCUUAAUUUCCUCCCUGCCUCCUGACUGAAUAAAGGUGAACUGGCAAUAGAUAUUUAGUUACUGUUAGGUCUCAAACCAGGAACAAAGAGCUGAGGUCCUAUUAACAUAUCAAAGCAGACUCUGGCCACCAGGUCCUGCCAGUAUCCCUCAGUCCCUCUCUGCUAAAAUGUAUGGCUAGUAUACCCCAGCCCUCUACCUUGAACUCUCCAGCCCAGAAACUGAGCUGUCCUUCCUUUAACUGCUUGCUAUUCACUACAUAAUCCAGUCGUUUGGGGGCACACUGGUCCUUUUUACCCUCUUUUAUCUUUUUGUUCUCCUGGUCUCCUGGCUAUCCCCUUCCCACUCUCCUCACAUGGCCUGGCUCAGACUGCUGGUCAUGUCCAGUCUGCACUUUCCCGGAUGUCUCCACAUCUGGCUAUGCUCUCCCUCAUAUCUCCACUAAACUAACUAUCUCCACCAUAUCUAGGAGCAGCCAUGUCCUCUUUUUUAUUUCUUUAUUUUCAUUCAGUGACUGUAAAGAGAGAUGGAUAAUGUUGCCAGGUGCCUGUCCUAAGAGCUGCCUGGCACUCGAUACAGGGCUGCCAGCAUUCUCUAACAAUCUAGUUCUCACUGUGAUCCUUCAGUAUGUUACUCUUCUCUAUCUGCUAAUCUAGCUCCCUGGGAUGCAUGGCUUAAUCAUUCAUUCAUUCUUUCAUUCAUUCAAGUAUUCAUAAACUUAGUUUUUUUUUAAGUUACAUUCAUUAGAGAGAGAGAGAGAGAGAGAGAGAGAGAGAGAAUUGAGACAUGUAUGGGGGUCAGAGGCUAACUUGUAGAAAUUUACCAUGUGUUUUCCAAGAUUCAAAUUUAGGUUGUUAGGCUUAGCAGCAAGCGCCUUUCUCCACUGAGUCACCUAACAGCCCCAUACAAGCUUUCAUUUGUGGAAACUUUCAAACAUAAUAAAGCUUAGUGAACUCCCGCUCUUGUUUCAGAGAUACUACCAUCUCCUAGCUAAGAUACUACCAUCUCCUAACUAAGUGACUUUAAAUGAAUCCUAAGUCACAUUGUGUGCCUGUAAAUAUUGUCCAUAUGCAUCUCAAAAAUAAGUGAUCUACAAAGGUACCAAAAUGCCAUUAUUUUAUCUUUAAAAAAAUUAAACUGGGCUGAGUGGUGGUGGGCAUUCCUUUAAUCGCAUCACUCAGGAGGCAAAGGCAGGCAGAUAUCUUGAGUUGGAGGUCAGCCUGGUCUACGGAGUUUCAGGGCAGCCAGGGCUACAUAGAGAAACACUGUCCUUGAGAAAACAAAACAAAACAAAACAAAACAAAACAAAACUGGGUGUGGUGGUUCAUGCUUGCAAUCUCAUGUCGGAGGCUGAGGCAGGAGGAUCAUGAUGAAUUCCAGGGUAGCCUGGAAACACACACACAGACACACACACACACACACACACACACACACACAGAAAGACAAAAGACAACAGCAAAAUGUUUGUGUGUCUGAAAGGUAAAUCUCAAGUUAUAGUCACAACUCUAGAUCUUAUCCCUUCUACCCUGGUCCCUCCCUUCUAACAAACAGCAUUCUAUUUUUAGGUAUUCAUAAUCACACUAUAUGUAGCCAGACAACAUGCAUUCAUGAAUGUACUGUACAUGGAAGUGCAAAUAUGUUUGAACCAGCUGAAUGAAACCACCUUUCUCUGUCUUGCUUUCCUGUUGUGACUUGAGUACUCAUAGCAUCCCAAGGACUCUUCAUGUAUACAUACAUUAGUUAUGCCAGCUCCCUACUAAUAAACAUUUUGAUUGUUUCUAUUCUUAUACUA